ensembl:snRNA U1 U1 spliceosomal RNA
ACACUUAGGGGAGGAAGGGAGGUACUGUGAUCAUGAAGAUGGCUUUCCCAGGAUGAGGCUCAUCCAUUGCCUUCUGGAUGCGCUGGCCCCAGAAUUUCUAGAAAUUCAGGAAACUGCAUAAUUUGUAGUAUCUUGGGACUGUGUUCACUCUCCCUAU